UCGUUUUACAUUUUUGCAAAUCUCUAAUGUGUGGCUUGAUAGAAUUUAGGAUUCUCACAUCUGCUUACAUACUUAUUUUGUCACGAUAUCACUUGUCAUGUGGCCUGGAAAAUUCUGCAUACCUGUGUACUUGUGACAGAAUGAUGCAAAUAACCUCUUAUGAAAGGGCCUCAGGAACCCCUGGGGAGCCUUGGACCACCUCGAAAACCACUUUGUCAGAUUAUGACUUUUGAGCUCAGUUGCUGAGGCUAAGCAAAGGUCAGGGCUGAGAUUCCUGAAGGCUAUCUGAGUCUCCAAGGAAUAGGAAAUAAACCCGUUUGCCUAGAAACAGCCUUUCUUAAGACAAUACCAUUGCUGCAGGGGGUAGAGGUUUUGCUUCUUAGGCAUCCUUCCUCCUCCUCCCUUCCUCGCUGAAAUCUUAAAGGAGGCCAAACAAGGCCAAUAUUAAGUGCUUCUAGUGAUUGGGCCAAGUAAUAUACCUAGAAAGGAAAGGAAGGAAACCUAAGGAGGUGUGAGUUUGCUUAAGCCAAGGAGUUUAUCUAUCACUGUUACUUUUCUGCUUCUAAAAUCUGGAAGAAAAGAUAGAUUCAAACCUUUUGAAAAUGUUUGUUCAAACCUACAGAAAAAUCCUGAAAGGGUUGUAAAGUAGGAAGAGUGUACGUAGGAGGGAGGAAGGUGGCCUGUUGCUAAGAUGUAUGAUUUAAAAUUCUGUGAUGCCUUCCUCCCCUCACAAUGAAAAAAGAAUUUCCUUGAAGGCUCAAACACAUGUUUAAAAAUACUAUGAUCUAUUCCCUAUCUGCCUACAUGAAUAGACCAAGAGCUUCCAGAAGGCCUAGAGAAUGUUGACACCAUGCCGAGAUGUGGAGGCUGGGAGUGGCCAAGCCCGCUAGCUAAUGACCUGAACAUUGCAGCCCGGGGCCCGCGUGUGAGCUUCAGUAAACUGGCAAGACUUCACACACUGGACCUCCAGAGUUACUCAGUGAGGCCUAUUCCAGUUGGCAGGAGAGCCAAGGAUUGAAGCAGAGCUUACUACUACUCCUGUGGGAGGUGCAGAAAAUUGAAAAUGCUGUUCCCUCAAGGGGUCACCAGUCGGGGAAAUCUGCAACACAAUACUCGGUGGUGUUUGAAAAUGGAGAUUCUUAAGCCCUGCCCCAAGACUGAAUGGUAAGACUCUCCUAGGGUGGAACCCAGGAUCUAAAUUUUUAGCAAGCAUGUCUGCUUUAGCUUUUCCUAAGGUGAAGAUAUUUAUGUCCCAUAUGAAUGCUCACCAAAGAGUGACCUCAGCAGAGGAAGAUUUUAAUGAUUCAUGGAGAUGUGGAAAGCUGACUCGUGUCCCUUGCUUGAGGCUUUUCCUAUCCAUGAGUUGAGUAAUAAGACUCAAACUAUCUCUGCUCCUUCCCCUCCCCUUCUUUGUGCAGCAUGAGGGUAUUUAUUAAUGUAUUAGUGACUCAUUCUAACCCUUACCCAUUUACAAUUUUUUGUACCCAAAAAUUCUAAAGGAAAAUAACUCAGGUAUUAUGGCUUAAUUUAAAAAUAGCUUUUGGGGAAAACUAGGUCAAAUAUACAAGAGACCUCUGCACUAUCUUUGCAAAUUCCUGUGAAUCUAUAAAAAGUUUUAAAACUAGCUAUCAUCUUAAUAAUUUAGGAGUAAUGAGUGUCAAAAUUCUGAGGAGGGAGAAUACUGGGUCUUACUAAUUAUUCUGUGUCAAAGCAAGAGAAAAAUCACUGUGAAAAAGAAUCUUCAGCUAAUGUAAAUGGGAAACAAAUGCUCAGAAAAAAAGUUCAGGCGGGUUAGUUGAGACAGGCCCCAGUGUUCUUUCUGGACCAAACCUCCCUCCAAUACAUAUAUCAAGGAAAAAAGACAAAAAGAAAGCUUUCCCUCUCUUAAUUCUUUUCUCUUAAAGAAGCUACAGUAGGAAAAAAUUACAUGCAACUAACUCAUUUAAAAUAAUAUCUAGAUGUAUUUCAUUUCAAGCAGAUGUUUUCAGAAACUACCUCCCUCCUUAAAUUAGCAACAGGUUCAUUCAUAAAGGAGGGAAAACUGUGAAGCAAGCUUAUCCUGGUUCACCUUGCAUCUCCGCAAGAUUGAUUAUGGCAGAGUUUAAUCUCAGGAGAAAUGAAAUUAGUUCAAUAGUCAGCUACGUGCAAUAGAAAAUUUUACAAAAUAAAAUGUAUAUCUAUGCCUCAAAAAAAUUAAAAAUACAAGCCAGCACAUCCACUUCUGGGUAUAUAGCCAAAAUGAUUGAGAAAAAAGGAUCUCAAAGAGAUAUCUGCACACCCAUGUACAUAGUAGCAUUCACCAUAGCCAAAAGGUAGAACAGCCCAAAUGCCUCUUAACAGACGAAUGGAUAAACAAAAUGUGGUACAUACAUACAAUGCAACAUUAUUCAGCCUUCAAAAAGAAAUCCUGUCACAUGCUACAACAUGUAUGAACCUUGAAAACAUUAUGCUAAGUGAAAUAAGUCCAUCACAAAAAGUGUAUGAUUCCACUUAUAUAAGAUAUCUGAAGUAGUCAAAUUUAUAGAAAGAAAAAGUAGAAUGGUCGCCGGGGACUUGGGGGAGGGAAAAAUCAGGAGUUGUUUAAGGGGUAUAGUUUUAGUUUUGCAAGAUAAAAAGUUCUGGAGAUCUGCUUCACAACAAUGCGAAUGUACUUAACACUGCUGAACUAUAUACACUUAAAAAUGAUUAAAAUGGUAUAUUUUAUGUGUUUUUUACCACAAUUAAAAAUGUUUUUAGGGCUUCCCUAGUGGUGCAGUGGCUAAGAGUCCGCCUGCCAAUACAGGGGACAUGGGUUCGAGCCCUGGUCCAGGAAGAUCCCACAGGCCUGGGGGCAAGUGGGCCCGUGCGCCACAACUGCUGAGCCUGUGCUCUAGAGCCCGCGAGCCACAACUGCUGAAGCCCACGUGCCUGGAGCCCAUGCUCCGCAACAAAGAGAAGCCACCGCAAUGAGAAGCCCACGCACCACAGCGAGGAGUGGCCCCAGCUCACCACAACUAGAGAAAGCCCACACACAGCAAUGAAGACCCAACGUAGCCAAAAAUAAAUAAAUAAAUAUAAUAA